rnacentral:sRNA from 1 species
UGUUUAUUGUGCUACGACUCGAUACA